UACGUAGGGUGCGAGCGUUAAUCGGAAUUACUGGGCGUAAAGCGUGCGUAGGCGGUUCGCUGUGUCCGAUGUGAAAGCCCCGGGCUUAACCUGGGAAUGGCAUUGGAAACUGGCGGGCUUGAGUGCGGCAGAGGGGGGUGGAAUUCCGCGUGUAGCAGUGAAAUGCGGUAGAGAUGCGGAGGAACACCGAUGGCGAAGGCAGCCCCCCUGGGUCGACACUGACGCUCAGGCACGAAAGCGUGGGGAGCAAACAGG
rnacentral:rRNA from 1 species